AGAUGUUGGGAAGUACCUAAAGACCUGUACGGACUGUGUCCUCUGGACGGGCAACACUAUGUCUUCUGCCACCAACGGAGAAACAAAAAAAUCUAGAAACCUCUUCCUCUUCACAAAGUCUGGGAAGCUGGAUGAUGAUGAUCUGGAGGUUUUCAAGAAACAGGCUGCGUGCCUCAACUUUGCUGCGAAUUUCCACUUUGCAGGCAUCACAGACCUGUGUCCUGAUGAGAAAGAGGCUGCCGCUGAUGUAAAGGAAGGAGAACAAUAGAGUUUACACUCACCUACACCUCAAGACUAUCCUGAGACCUGAAGUUACACCAUGAGUCUAAUCUGUAUUCAAGUGAACUGUUGUUGAUGUUUUUUAGGUCCUGUUACCACUUGUAUGCAUCACAGAUGUCUUUAUAGAUGUAAAAAGAAAACCUUUUCCAUGUUGCAGGAGGUUUAAAGUGAGACAAGACAGAUUAAAGCUUUGUAAAGUCAUUUAUCAUAGUAGACUUGUUAUUUACAGCAGCUCCUUUUUUGUUGCGUUAAAGAGAAGUGAAUAGAUUUCACAUUUAAUAUCAGAUUCAUAAAUCUCAAAGGAUACCACCUGUCUUUUAUGCAUGUAACGUUUAGGAUUGUUGUUUGCAUGCUUGUAUUUUGCAUAAAUGUAAUCUGUUUGCACUCACUGUCUUUUGGGCAUUCAUAUUUUUCUCUAGUUGACACCACAGAAGUAACUUCCAGAGAGCAUUUAGUGAUUUCUGCAAAACACUGGCCAAUGAAAGCUGCAACAAAGUUUUAAAAGUUUUUAUGGUUCAAAGCAACUGCUUUUGUGUGUUAAUAGAGUCAAAGAUGGGAGUACUGUGAGUAAGGCUGGGGACUGGCUGAUUGUUUCCUUCAUGCUUCUUCUACCUCAGCACUGCCCUUUCACAAGUUG